CCUACACAUGCAAGUCGAACGGCAGCAUAAGAGAGCUUGCUCUCUUGAUGGCGAGUGGCGGACGGGUGAGUAAUGUAUAGGGAUCUGCCCAGUAGUGGGGGACAACAGCCGGAAACGGCUGCUAAUACCGCAUACGCUCUACGGAGGAAAGCGGGGGACCUUUCGGGGCCUCGCGCUAUUGGAUGAACCUAUAUCAGAUUAGCUAGUUGGUGGGGUAAUGGCCUACCAAGGCAACGAUCUGUAGCUGGUCUGAGAGGAUGAUCAGCCACACUGGGACUGAGACACGGCCCAGACUCCUACGGGAGGCAGCAGUGGGGAAUAUUGGACAAUGGGGGAAACCCUGAUCCAGCAAUGCCGCGUGUGUGAAGAAGGCCUGCGGGUUGUAAAGCACUUUCAGUAGGGAAGAUAAUGACGGUACCUACAAAAGAAGCACCGGCUAACUCCGUGCCAGCAGCCGCGGUAAUACGGAGGGUGCGAGCGUUAAUCGGAAUUACUGGGCGUAAAGCGCACGUAGGUGGUUUGGUAAGUCGGAUGUGAAAUCCCAGGGCUCAACCUUGGAAUUGCAUUCGAUACUGCCUCACUAGAGUCUAGCAGAGGGAUGGGGAAUUCCGGGUGUAGCGGUGAAAUGCGUAGAGAUCUGAAGGAACAUCAGUGGCGAAGGCGACUCACUGGGCCAUUACUGACGCUGAGGUGCGAAAGCGUGGGUAGCAAACAGGAUUAGAUACCCUGGUAGUCCACGCCCUAAACGAUGUCAACUAGGUGUGUGAAGAUAUAAUCUUUGCGUAUCGAAGCUAACGCGAUAAGUUGACCGCCUGGGGAGUACAGCCGCAAGGCUAAAACUCAAAUGAAUUGACGGGGGCCCGCACAAGCGGUGGAGCAUGUGGUUUAAUUCGAUGCACCGC
rnacentral:rRNA from 1 species